CAUCAAUUCAGCUUUUCGUUUAAGUUUCCAACCACGAUAGGGAACAAAGAAAAAUUAGGAAAUGCUCAUUGUAUUGAACCCAGUCAGUGAUCUGAUUUGAAGAUUGGUUUCUCAGCUGACCCAUAUCGUUGUUGCUAGAAUUAGAAGGAGAAUACGAAGCGCGCUCUUCCAGGGAUUAAUACAAGGAAGAAGUAGAGCUAGCUAGGGUUGGAUAAAGUGGAAAAUCUGAAUUUCACUGGAAUUCGAGAUGAGUAUAUUUUCUUUGGGUACAGGAGAAGAAAUCAGGAUUCCAAAAAAAAA